AUGAACGCUAGCUACAGGCUUAACACAUGCAAGUCGAGGGGCAGCAUGGUCUUAGCUUGCUAAGGCCGAUGGCGACCGGCGCACGGGUGAGUAACACGUAUCCAACCUGCCGUCUACUCUUGGACAGCCUUCUGAAAGGAAGAUUAAUACAAGAUGGCAUCAUGAGUCCACAUGUUCACAUGAUUAAAGGUAUUCCGGUAGACGAUGGGGAUGCGUUCCAUUAGAUAGUAGGCGGGGUAACGGCCCACCUAGUCUUCGAUGGGUAGGGGUUCUGAGAGGAAGGUCCCCCACAUUGGAACUGAGACACGGUCCAAACUCCUACGGGAGGCAGCAGUGAGGAAUAUUGGUCAAUGGGCGAGAGCCUGAACCAGCCAAGUAGCGUGAAGGAUGACUGCCCUAUGGGUUGUAAACUUCUUUUAUAAAGGAAUAAAGUCGGGUAUGGAUACCCGUUUGCAUGUACUUUAUGAAUAAGGAUCGGCUAACUCCGUGCCAGCAGCCGCGGUAAUACGGAGGAUCCGAGCGUUAUCCGGAUUUAUUGGGUUUAAAGGGAGCGUAGAUGGAUGUUUAAGUCAGUUGUGAAAGUUUGCGGCUCAACCGUAAAAUUGCAGUUGAUACUGGAUAUCUUGAGUGCAGUUGAGGCAGGCGGAAUUCGUGGUGUAGCGGUGAAAUGCUUAGAUAUCACGAAGAACUCCGAUUGCGAAGGCAGCCUGCUAAGCUGCAACUGACAUUGAGGCUCGAAAGUGUGGGUAUCAAACAGGAUUAGAUACCCUGGUAGUCCACACGGUAAACGAUGAAUACUCGCUGUUUGCGAUAUACUGCAAGCGGCCAAGCGAAAGCGUUAAGUAUUCCACCUGGGGAGUACGCCGGCAACGGUGAAACUCAAAGGAAUUGACGGGGGCCCGCACAAGCGGUGGAGCAUGUGGUUUAAUUCGAAGCAACGCGCAGAACCUUACCAACCCUUGACAUGGCGAUCGCGGUUCCAGAGAUGGUUCCUUCAGUUCGGCUGGAUCGCACACAGGUGCUGCAUGGCUGUCGUCAGCUCGUGUCGUGAGAUGUUGGGUUAAGUCCCGCAACGAGCGCAACCCUUAUUGUUAGUUGCCAUCAUUAAGUUGGGCACUCUAGCGAGACUGCCGGUAAUAAACCGGAGGAAGGUGGGGAUGACGUCAAAUCAUCAUGCCCCUUAUGACUUGGGCUACACACGUGCUACAAUGGCGUAAACAAAGGGAAGCGAACCUGCGAGGGUGGGCAAAUCCCAAAAAUAACUUCCCAGUUCGGACUUUAGUCUGCAACCCGACUACACGAAGCUGGAAUCGCUAGUAAUCGCGGAUCAGAAUGCCGCGGUGAAUACGUUCCCGGGCCUUGUACACACCGCCCGUCACACCAUGAGAGUUGGCAACACCCGAAGCCGGCGGCCCAACCCGCAAGGGAGGGAGCUGUCUAAGGUGGGGCUGAUGAUUGGGGUG
rnacentral:rRNA from 1 species